CGCCGGAGGGGAGGAAUGCGGCAGGCGGAAAACUUAGGAAGAGCUGGAUGCCUCCCACGGAGAGCGUCCCUUCCAAGCGGCCCCGGAGUGGAGUGGAGUGGAGUGGAUAGGGGUAGACUUUUCACACGGGGACAAAUUAUUACAGGAUAUCUGCGCCCCCUGUUCCGAGUCACUCGGGGCCAUCGGUUACUUCAGCAGGUUCUCUGCAUCACGGACCCUUUUGAGGCUCAGGAAUUUACCAUGGAAAUUAUUGGCCAUAAUUGUUGGUGACACUAUCAAACUCAUAGUCACUCUAUAACGAUGACUCUGCAGAGGGCCCCCACCAGCAAGAAGACCCUCACCAGAUAUAGCCUUCAACCUUGGACUUCCCAGCCUCCAGAGCUGUACAAAGUAAAUUUAUUUUUCUUAUAAAUUACCCCAUCUGAGAUAUUAAGUUGUAGCAACAGAAAAUGGACUAAGACAAAUGUGUAAUUCAAGAGAAAAGAAAAAGAGAUCACAUUAUAAUCUGCCCCCUAAGAUCUCUUAUAAUGAUUUGUUAUAAUUUAUAUUAUAGUGUAAUAUACAGUAGUCAC
rnacentral:lncRNA from 1 species